CUUGACGGUGUCGGCAAGCGCAAUGCUUGAAAUGAAUAGGCAGAAACCCGCAGCGGCAGCGGCCACCUUGUUGAAAAACUUCAUCGUUCCCUGCUCCAUGGAAAUUC
rnacentral:sRNA from 1 species